rnacentral:lncRNA from 1 species
UGGAACUCAAAAUGACUUUGCGAAGCAUGAAACGAAAAUCUGAGCAUUCAUGAUUUAUUUGAUUUUCUCUAUUAUCAUGUAUACUAUUUGUUUUUUAUUAUUGUGACUAUAACAUGAUGUUUCUUUAAUAAAUAAAUUGUUUUUAUAAGGUAGGAUAGGACUCUAACAUGAUGUAAUGGUAAAUGUUUAUGAUAUAAUUA